AACGAACGCUGGCGGCAUGCCUAACACAUGCAAGUCGAACGAGACCUUCGGGUCUAGUGGCGCACGGGUGCGUAACGCGUGGGAACCUACCCUUAGGUUCGGAAUAACUCCCCGAAAGGGGUGCUAAUACCGGAUAAUGUCUUCGGACCAAAGAUUUAUCGCCUUUGGAUGGGCCCGCGUUGGAUUAGCUAGUUGGUAGGGUAAAAGCCUACCAAGGCGACGAUCCAUAGCUGGCCUGAGAGGAUGAUCAGCCACACUGGGACUGAGACACGGCCCAGACUCCUACGGGAGGCAGCAGUGGGGAAUAUUGGACAAUGGGCGAAAGCCUGAUCCAGCAAUGCCGCGUGAGUGAUGAAGGCCUUAGGGUUGUAAAGCUCUUUUACCCGGGAUGAUAAUGACAGUACCGGGAGAAUAAGCGCCGGCUAACUCCGUG
rnacentral:rRNA from 1 species